GACGAACCGAGCGAACGUUGUUCGGAAUCACUGGGCUUAAAGGGUGCGUAGGCGGCCGUGCAAGCCUGGCGUGAAAGCCCCGGGCUCAGCCCGGGAAGUGCGCUCGAAACUGCGCGGCUCGAGUGCCGGAGGGGAGAGUGGAAUUCCUGGUGUAGCGGUGAAAUGCGUAGAUAUCAGGAGGAAUACCGGUGGCGAAAGCGACUCUCUGGACGGCAACUGACGCUGAGGCACGAAAGCGUGGGGAGCAAACAGG
rnacentral:rRNA from 1 species